GCCCCUUGGAAGCCAAGAAUAUGAGGAAGUCUUCUUCCUUCGCGCCUUCUUCUUCCUUACGCUCCAGGGCAGCCUGACAGAGCCGCUCGAAGGCUCUGCUGGCCGCGGCUAGCCGGUUUACCCAUUCCACUGGACCCAGCCACCACCCACUCCUGCUGUCUGGGUGCAGCAGAAGUCUCAGGUAGCUGAGAAGUUCAUGGAAUCUUCUUAUUUGCUACACCUUUCACUACUGCUUGUGAUAUAGUGCAGGGUUGGGAUGUGCAGACAUUUCUCAAGUGCACUGUGUACCUACACAGCAUGCUGCAAUUUGGCUACUGAAGUCAAGAGAAACUGGUUUGAACAACUACUGAGUGUAACAUAGGAAGCGCAUUUCAUUUGAUAACAGGAACACAGCUUUUGUGCUAAUAAAAUGCUUUGAAAAUUAGUGUGUGGUCUUUAGUAAUUAGCAUAUACAUUUUAGUUAUCCAUUGGUUCAUAACAAACGGACUAAAUAGGUACCCCACUGAGUCAUUUAUCUAAAUGAAAAGUUUGGUUAAAUUGUAGUUGUAGGCAUUGAUCAAAGCUAAUGGGAAAAAGAGAUUAAGAUGAAAAUCAUGGGAUUAAAUUUUUAAUUAGUUUGCCCCUUGGACCGUUGCUUGGUAUGACAUGGAGAUUGAUUGGCUACUUAUGCCUGCCUGGGAAGAUAUGGCUCUGCUACCAAACCUCUGAACGUAAGAGUGUUUUGCAAAAAAACUGAAUAUUUUAUUCAGUAAUUUUUCACUUUAUUCCUGCUUAACAAGGAAUUGAAAAGGAAGGCAAGGUCUUGGAUCUCAUAGUUCUUGGUAUAGUGAUAGAUAUAAAGUAUGAGAUGGGGGCUUCAGUGGGUUCAUUAAUAAAUAUCUCAAAUUAACAUGUCUAAGUCAAACUCUUCCUUUCCUGCCCCCAAUCUCUUCCUCUCCCAGGGCUCCUUAUGUCAACUAAUGGUGCCAUCAUUAGUGCACUCAAAGCAAAAACCUGGGAACAAUCUUGAUUCCCUCUUUCAUUCCCCACAGCUCACCCAUCAACAAAUUCGAUCCGCUUUUAUUCUAAAAUAUAUCCUAAAUCCAUUCACUGUUCUUAUCUCCACCACCCUAACCCAGGCAUCAUCAUCCUUUACCUGGUUAACUGCAAGAUCCUUUUCAUUUAACUUCCCUGCUUCUAAUCUUCUGACCCAUUUUCACCAUCCCAGUCCAUUCACCACACAGUAGCAGCCAAAAUAUUUGUUUAAAAUGUAAGUUAGAUUCUAUCACUUUUGUGUUUAGAAUUAUUGUCUUCCCCCACUAAUUACUGUGCCCUAUGUGAUCUGGACUCAAUCUGGUACCACUCCCUACCCCUUCACUCACUAUAAUCCAGACAUACUAUCUUUCUUUCUUCAACCUGCCAAGUUUUAUCCUGCCUUAGGGUCCUUGCACUAGCUGUUCCCUUUGCUGGAACCCUCUUCACCCAGUUAUUGCAGAGCUGGCCCUCUCUUGUUUAGAGCUGAAUUUCAAUGUGACCUCUUCAAAUAAGUCCUCCCUUGACCACCCAAACUCAUGUACCCCCUUGUUACUCUCUGUCACGUCAUCCUGAUUCAGUUUCACCACAACACUCAUCAUUACUGCUAUUUUCUUGUAUCUUCCUUUGUUUAUUGACUGUCUCCUCCCAUUAAUAUGUAAGCUCCCUGAAAAUAAACAUCUUGUCUAUAUUGUAUGACUGUAUCCCCAGAACUUCAAAUAGUCUGUGACAUAUGAAUGAAUGAAUGAAUGAAUGUACGAAUGGAUUCUGCUUCCCCAAAGCUGCUGCCAUCUCAUCUCAGGUACAUUGAAACAGGAAGGCUGGUAAAGGCCAGGGGGUCAAAUGCUACAUAGAGUGGAGCCUGAAGCACAAGAUGUGGGCAAAGACACAGUGGAGAGGGGCAAGAAAAGCAUUUGGGAUGGAGGGCAGAGGGUCUGGGAAGGAACAUGGAAAUGAUAUAGAACAACUCUACAGAUAUGUCCUAGACAUCUUAAGACUUGUACAAGCAUGCGUGUGCCCGCACAUACACACAUACCAGCUUGAAGAAUCUUGUCUCAGCACAUGCUCUGUACUUGAGUCUUAGAGAACACUUUUCUUGGUAGAGAUGUUUAGGCUUCAGCAUUAAGGAGUCUGAUUCAGAGGUCUAGGUAGGGCCCAUGUGUCUGUGACUGCAUAAUACUUGUAAACUGGUCUCAUUCUUGGUCAGGACAAUAAGGCUGCAGUAAAUCAUAGCAGCUGGGAGAAAGUAGUGUGGUAUCCUGCAGUGGUUCUGUUCACCACCACAUGGGCAGAGCAUGAGCAACUUUCCUUUCCUGGGCCCUCGUUCUGCUCAGAUACAAAGUGAAGGCUUACUUGGGCUCCUGUGCAACUUUAAAAGUGAAACUUAACUGAAAUUGGGCAGGUGGGCUGCACUUCUUCUAAAAAGUAAGAGGCCCACUUUUUAGAAAAUAUUAAACCUUGGAUUACACCUCAGUUUGGCAGUUACAUGACACAUUAUUUCUAAAGAGCCAUCUAAUUUUAUGCCAUCUAAUGUUUAUAUUGAUAACUGAUGAAAAUACAGGAGCUUAUUAUGCCACUGAAACUACGAUGAAGUGGCUCAAAUUUAUUCUCUCACUGUAGGUUGGAUUUGAGGGGAUAAGGAUAAGAGAGAAAAUACUAUUGGUGCUCAGGUUAAAAAAAGAAAAAGAAAAAAAUGGAGCUUAGACUUUAAUCUUUUCAUAAAUCUUCCUCAUCC
rnacentral:lncRNA from 10 species